rnacentral:rRNA from 1 species
GCCAGUAAUAUAUGCUUGGAUGAAGGAUUAACCCCUUAAAAGGUAAAAAUAAGUCGGUUUCGACAAAUCUGUGGAAGGCUAAGUAAAAAAGGGAAAAAGAAAGAGGGGGAGAACUUUGGGGAUAAUGAAAGGAAAUCUUUCAAUAAUACAAAAAGUGUAGCAAAGUACAUAUGAAGGGACUUGCUACUGAUAAGAGGGGUAACCAUCGACCCCUCAUCUGACUCUUAUGUAUCAAUUAAACUUUAGGGUAAGGGCCUAAAGUGAUGAUAACGCAUACAGAGAAUUAGGGUUCGAUUCUGGAGAGGGAGCACGAGAGACGGCUACCACUUCUAAGGAAGGCAGCAGGCGCGCAAUUUGUCCAAUGUGGAAAUCACGAGGCAGCGAACAUCAAUAACAAUGAGAGACUGAAUAACAGUUUUUCAAUUGGAAUGAGACAUGAGAAGAGAAAAAAGCGAGAAUCAAGUGGAGGGAAAGUCUGGU